CCUACGGGAGGCAGCAGUGAGGAAUAUUGGUCAAUGGCCGGAAGGCUGAACCAGCCAAGCCGCGUGAAUGACGAAGGUGCCAAGCAUUGUAAACUUCUUUUGUCAAGGGACAAAAUCAGGCUCGAGAGCCUGACCGAGGGUACUUGAAGAAAAAGCAUCGGCUAACUCCGUGCCAGCCGCCGCGGUAAUACGGAGGAUGCGAGCGUUAUCCGGAUUUAUUGGGUUUAAGGGGUGCGUAGGCGGACUGUUAAGUCAGCGGUAAAAGCCCGGGGCUCAACCCCGGCGAGCCGUUGAAACUGGGUGUCUUGAGAUGUCGAGAGGAAUGCGGAAUGCGCAGUGUAGCGGUGAAAUGCUUAGAUAUUGCGCAGAACUCCGAUGGCGAAGGCAGCAUACCGGCGGCGAUCUGACGCUGAGGCACGAAAGCGUGGGUAUCGAACAGGAUUAGAUACCCUAGUAGUC
rnacentral:rRNA from 1 species